UACGUAGGUGGCAAGCGUUGUCCGGAUUUAUUGGGUUUAAAGGGUGCGUAGGCGGCUUUGUAAGUCAGUGGUGAAAGCCGAUCGCUUAACGAUCGAACUGCCAUUGAUACUGUAGGGCUUGAGUAUAGAUGAGGUAGGCGGAAUUGACAGUGUAGCGGUGAAAUGCAUAGAUAUUGUCAAGAACACCAAUUGCGAAGGCAGCUUACUAAGUUAUAACUGACGCUGAGGCACGAAAGUGCGGGGAUCAAACAGG
rnacentral:rRNA from 2 species